rnacentral:lncRNA from 1 species
ACUUCUCAAGUUUGCAGUCAGACUUUGACUCAGAAACACCUAUGUGUUUGAGAUGCCACCGAGUAGACAAGACAAGACCUGCAAAGUAGGACCUGGGAAUUAAACAGGGCAAGGAGAAGAAAGGGUGGGGGCAAGGCCAUGGACCAGAAGCCUUGAGCUAGACCAAUGACUCAUGGUGGCAGAGAGAGAGAGAGAGAGAGAGAGAGAGAGAGAGAGAAGAAAGAUGGAGGGAAGGAAAGGAGCAAUAUGUACUGGUGGAGAGAAACUGACCCAUGUCAAUGUCUGAGGCCUGAGAUGCUUCCAGUGUCCAUUUCAAUGUGCAUUGCCUGUACUGUUGACUACAGCCUGUUUGCUGUCUGUGGUCCCUGCUGCAGUAUCUAUGGCCUGUGUUACCACCAAAGGGCAUAUCUCUUGUCUAUGCUGACUAUAUGACUAUAUAUGACUAUAUGAACUAUAUGAACACAAUAUAAAUUGGACAUUUUAAAAAUCUUUGGGAGGAGGGGUAAACCUGGGAGGACUGGGAAGUAAGGAUGAUCUUAGUGCAUUAUGUGAAAGUCCAAAAUAAUCAAUAAAAAUAUUAAGUUAGAAAAAUAAAUCUUAAAAAAAGUCAAAGUUUAAAAAGAAAGUGAGAGUCUGAAUUUGAGGUCCAGCACUCUCCAAACUGAUCCUCUAGCCAGUUCUCUUUGUUUCACCUUUCUCUGCACUGAAAUGAGGAGAGGAACUGUUCACUCCGAAUAGCAACAUCAGUAUCUCUAAUAGUAAAGCAAUACUGCAGAUAAAUAUUGUUAGGUGUUUGCAGAGCUUGUGCACUCUCCUUGCUUUCAUUUCUUCCUCCACCUUCCCUAAAACCUACAAUCAUCUCACAUCUCUAAGGGCUUAGUCCUGUGCAGAGAUGACUUUGGCUUCAAUCACUGAAAUGAUCAUUUAAUAGACCUAUUCUCUCUCUCUCUCUCUCUCUCUCUCUCUCUCUCUCUCUCUCUCUCUCUCUCUCUCUCUCUGUGUGUGUGUGUAUGUGUGUGUGUGUGUGUGUGUGUGGUCCAAAUGUUGCAGAAUAUCUUUUCUGGUAAAUAUUGGGUGUGUUACUCUCGACCUUAUCUUUUGAUACAGGAUCUCUUGCUGAACCUGGAGUUCACGGAUAAAUUGAGACUAGUUGGCCAGCAAUCCUCAGGGAUCCUCCCGUCUCCAUUUCUUUCUCCUGUGCUGACUGCAGAUGUGCUCCACCAUACCUGGUGUAUGUGGUGCUGGAGACUGAACCUAGGCUUCUUGCAUGCUAGGCAAGUGCUUUAUCAACUGAGCCACAUCCUGGUCUCCACUUAAAUUAUCGUACCCUGAGUAAUUUCAUCCACAUUCACUCAUAUUUAAACCCAAGGGAUUACAAGGAAGGAAUCAAGCACCAUGUCCAUACUGACUGCAGCUAGAUCUGAUGUGUUCAUCAUUCAGGAAAGUGUGUGGGUCGUAAAAAUGUUAUCCUUCCUUUAGGUUUUUAUUAGUUCUUCCAAUUCUAUUAGUUUAAAAUCUGCUAGCUUCAAGCUGGGAUUUCCUAGUCAUUGUCCCAAUAAAUUUAAGAAAUGGGUUCUGUAUGGAUUACUCAACAAAAAAGCUAAUACCAGCUUGACAGCAAACACAAGUGGAAACAAGCUGCAUCUUGUAUUUCCUUUGUGGUUUUUAAAAAAUGACUAAUUUGUGAGAAAAGAAAAAAACACCUAAAACACAUUCCAAAAAACUAUAAAGAGACAUAUGCUUAAUUAAUAUCCUAGAUGCAAUUGCUUCACUCAUGGGGUUUCUUGUCAUAUGCUGAUCUGUGUAGUCUCCUCACUACACUGGAAGGUCCCUUUUACCAUCAAGUCAAAUUCCAGGAAAUAUAGUAUGAUCCGGAAGUAUAUGGUAUAUACCCUAUGUCUGGUGUCCCUCCUAUUUCAUUGAGUAAAGACUUAUUGAGUUUCCCCCAACUCAUUUGCAAGCAUAAAUAAAUAAUUAAAGAGAGUGGUGAUUUCUCAACCCUGUUAGUGAUUAUAAAGCCACACUCCACUGGGUUUAUUCUCUUAAGCAUUGUAUCUUCACUCUGGCCAAGGAAGCAGGUAAGCUAACUAUAGAUCUUCACCUCUCUCCCCUCCAAAUACAAUGCCCUUAUCACAUUCCCAGAUCUUCAGCAGAACACCUGCUGUUGCCUUGUAUUAAUUAACACCUCCCCUGCACCUAUCUGGGUCACACAGAUCUUUCCCACCUAACCUCCCUCCCUCAAUUCAUUGCUUUAUCCCAGCCUCUGACUCCAGCAGGCAGUCUCUGAAACUCAAAGGCCACUGUGACCAGGAAAGCAGGUAGACAAACUUGAUUUCUCCCUCUGCUCCUCCAAGUCCAACCCCUCAUUCUCAUUUCCAGCUCUCUAACAGACCUUCUUCUGUGGCCUCUCCGCACUCUCUGUCCCCAUUCUCAAAAAACUAAGCACCCUGAUUUUCUCCUUCUUGUGUCUCCCUCAGCAACUCCCUUUCAGCUCAUCACCAUUCCUAAGUGUCAGCUCCCCCAACCUAGAAGUACAUCUUACCCCAGGGCCCCACCUAUCAGUAUCCUAGAAGGAUUUCAUACCAUGUAGCACAGAACCCGAGAAGACUGCAGAAAUCAGGGAACAAAAUACUGACCCAACAAAGACAAAACCAGAUUUCAACACCUAGAAUUACAACCUUCUCAAAGCCAGAUGCCUAGAUACCAGUGUAAAAACACAUUGACAAUAGCCAGGAUAAUAAGUGGUCACUACAUCCCAAAGACCCUAUUACCACAACACACCUUGAGUAUUAUAACAUAGCUGAAGCACAAGAAAAAAAAAACCAUUAAGACAGUCUUUAUAAUACGUUAGAGGCCUUUACAGAGACAAAAAAUAAAUAAGUGAAAGCUAAUUGAGGAGAAUCUGGAAAUAAAAAAAAAUCUAUAAAUUCAAACCUCCAUGGCAAGUUUCAUCAACAGAAUACAAAAGAUAAGAGAAUUUCAGGUACUGAAGAAACAAUAGAAGAAAUAGAUGCAUUGGUCAAAGAAAAUAGUAAAUCUAAAAGAAAAUAGUAAAUCUAAAAAAACCUUUAGCACAAAACAUCCAGGAAAUCUGGGACACUAGGAAGACCAAAUUUAAAAACAAUAAGAUAAUAAGAGAAAAGACACAGGUCCAAAGCACAGAAAAUAUUUUCAGCAAAAUCAGAAGAAAUUUACCCCAAUCUAAGAAAGAGGGGAUGUCUAUCAAAGUACAAGCAAGUAAAAUAGCAAAGAAACUGGUUUCCUCCAUACAUAAUAAUCAAAUCGCUAAAUGUAGAGCACAAAGAAAUAGUAUAAAUAGCUGCAAGGGAAAAAGACCAAGCAACAUACAAAGGCAGACCUGUUAGAAUUGCACCUGACUUCUCACUGGAUGCUCUAAAAGCCAGAAGGGCCUAGACUCAGAGACCACAGAUGCCAGUCCAGAAUACUAUGCUCAACAAAACUUUCAAUAAUAAUAGAUGAAAAAAUAAGAUGUUACCAAGGACACCACAAGAACAAAUCUGGGCCAAUGGGGGCUUACAGAGACUGAACCACCAACCAAAUAACAUGCAGGGGCAGGACCUAGGCACCCUACAUAUUUGGAGCAGAUGUGCAGCUUGGUCUUCAUGUGGGGCCUGACAAUUGGUAUGGGGGUGCUAUUUCUGACUAUGUUGUUAGCCAUUGGAUCCCCUUCCCCUAACUGGACUCCCUCUUGGGCCUCAGUUGGGGAAGAUGUGCUUAGUCCUGUUGGGACUGGAUGUUCCAGGGCACAGUAGUACCCAAGGAGGGUUUCCCUUCUCUGAGGAGAAAGGGAGGGAAUAAUGAAGGGAGGGAUUUGUAGGAGAAGAUGAGAGAGGGUGGAUGUUAUGGGGAUGUAAAGUGAAUAAGUAAACAAAUUAACAAAAAAAGAAAACAUACAAACAAGGGAGAAAAAGAAAAUAAGGCAUUGCAUUAUAAAACCAAAUUUAAGCAAUAUCUAUCUGCAAUAUCCACUCAUUAGUGAGUACAUAUCAUGCAUGUCCUUUUGGGUCUGAGUUACCUUACUUAGGAUGAUAUUUUCUAGUUCCAUCUGCCUGAAAACUCAGGAUGUCCUCGUUCUUAAUAGCUGAGUAGCAUUCCAUUGUGUAAAUGAACCACAAUUUCUGUAUACAUUCUUAUGCAGUGAGACAUCUGGGUUGUUUCCAGCUUCUGGCUAUCACAAAUAAGGCUGCUAUAAACAGAGGAACACAUGCCCCUGUGGCAUGGUGGGGCAUCGUUUGGGUAUAUUCCCAAGAGUGGUAUAGCUGGGUCUUCAGGUAGAUCUAUUUCCAAUUUCCUGAGAAACCUCCAUAUUGAUUUCCAGAGUGUUGUACCAGUUUGCAAUCCCACCAGUAAUGGAGGAGUGUUCCUCUCUUUUCACAUCCUCUCCACCAUCCUCACCUGAGGAUUUGACCUUAGCCAUUCUGUUUGGUAUAAGGUGAAAUCUCAGGGUCACUUUGAUUUCCAUGUCUCUGAUCACUAAGGACUUUGAACAUUUCUUUAGUUGCUUCUCAGUCAUUGGAGAUUCCACAGUUGUGAAUUCUUGGUUUAGUUCUAUAUCCCAUUGUUUGAUUGGGUUGUUUGGUUUUUUGGUGAUUAACUUCUUGAGUUCUUUAUAUAUUUUGGAUAUUAGUCCUCUAUCAGAUGUGGGGUUAGUGAAGAUUUUUUUCCCCAAUAUGUAGGUUGCCAAUUUGUCUUGUGAACUAUGUCCUUUGACUUUCAGAAGCUUUCCAGUUUCAUAAGGUCCCAUUUAUCAAUUCUUGAUCCUACAGCAUGAGCCAUUGGAGUUCUGUUUAGGAAAAUUUCCCCUGUACCAAUGAGCUCAAGGCUCUUUCCUAUUUUCUCUUCUCAUAGAUUCAGUGUAUCUGGCUAUAUGUUGAGGUCCUAGAUCCACUUGGACUUGAGCUUUGUACAAGUGACAAAUAUCGGUCUAUUUUUAUUCUUCUACAUACAGAUAGCCAAUUAAACCAGCACCAUUUAUUGAAGAUGCUUUCUUUUUUCCACUGGAUGGUUUUAGAUCCUUUGUCAAAGAUCAAGUGACUGUAAGUGUGUAGUUUUAUUGCUGGGUCUUAAAUUCUAUUUUAUUGAUGAACCUGUCUGUCUCUGUACCAAUACCAUGCUCUGUAGUAAAGCUUGAGGUCAGGAAUGGUGACUCCCCCAGCUGUUCUUUUAUUGUUAAGAAUUGUUUUCCCUAUUCUGGGUUUUUUUCCUUUCAAGAUGGAUUUGAGAAUUGUUCUUUCCAUAUCUUUGAAGAAUUGUGAUGAGAUUUUUAUGGGGAUUGCAUUGAAUCUAUAGAUUGCCUUUGGUAGGAUGGCCAUUUUUACUAUGUUAAUUCUGCCAAUCCAUGAACAUGGGAGAUCUCUCCAUUUUCUGAGGUCCUCUUCAAUUUCUUUACUGAGAGACUUGGAGUUAUUGUCAUACAGGUCUUUUACUUGCUUGGUUAGAAUUGCCCCAAGAUAUUUUAUAUUAUUUGUAGCUAUUGUGAAGGGAUUUGUUUCCCUAAUUUCUUUCUUAGCCUGUUUAUCAUUUGUAUAAAGGAAGACUACUGAUUUAUUUGAGCUAAUUUUAUAUCCAACCACUUUGCUGAAGUUGUUUAUCAGCUGGAGAAAUUCUCUGGU